rnacentral:rRNA from 1 species
CCCCUAGAUGUUCUGGGCCGCACGCGCGCUACACUGAACAGUUCAACAAGUCUUAACCUUGGCCGAUAGGUCUGGGUAAUCUUUGAACGCUGUUCGUGAUUGGGAUAGACCUUUGCAAUUAUGGGUCUUCAACGAGGAAUUCCUAGUAAACGCAAGUCAUCGGCUUGCAUUGAUUACGUCCCUGCCCUUUGUACACACCGCCCGUCGCACCUACCGAUUGAAUGGUCCGGUGAAAUCUCGGGGCGGCGGCUUGGUCGCUUGCGUCCGACUGCUGAAACUUGAUUAAACCAUAUCAUUUAGAGGAAGGUGAANUCGUANCA